rnacentral:rRNA from 1 species
UACGGGGGGGGCAAGCGUUGUUCGGAAUUACUGGGCGUAAAGGGCUCGUAGGUGGCCAACUAAGUCAUACGUGAAAUCCCUCGGCCCAACCGAGGAACUGCGCCCGAGACUGCUUCUCUUGAGUCCCGGAGAGGAAGGUGGAAUUCCCGGUGUAGCGGUGAAAUGUGUAGAGAUCGGGAGGAACACCGGUGGCGAAGGCGGCCUUCUGGACGGUGACUGACGCUGAGGCGCGAAAGCGUGGGGAGCAAACGGG